GACGAACGCUGGCGGCGUGCUUAACACAUGCAAGUCGAACGGAAAGGCCCUGCUUUUGUGGGGUGCUCGAGUGGCGAACGGGUGAGUAACACGUGAGUAACCUGCCCUUGACUUUGGGAUAACUUCAGGAAACUGGGGCUAAUACCGGAUAGGAGCUCCUGCUGCAUGGUGGGGGUUGGAAAGUUUCGGCGGUUGGGGACGGACUCGCGGCUUAUCAGCUUGUUGGUGGGGUAGUGGCUUACCAAGGCUUUGACGGGUAGCCGGCCUGAGAGGGUGACCGGCCACAUUGGGACUGAGAUACGGCCCAGACUCCUACGGGAGGCAGCAGUGGGGAAUAUUGCACAAUGGGCGGAAGCCUGAUGCAGCAACGCCGCGUGCGGGAUGACGGCCUUCGGGUUGUAAACCGCUUUCGCCUGUGACGAAGCGUGAGGGACGGUAAUGGGUAAAGAAGCACCGGCUAACUACGU
rnacentral:rRNA from 1 species